CCCUUAGAUGUUCUGGGCUGCACGCGCGCUACACAGAUGCAUCCAGCGAGUUGUAACCUUGCUUGGUAAAGUUUGGUAAUCUGAGCCUAAUGUGCAUCGUGAUGGGAAUAGAGUUUUGCAACUAUUAGUCUUGAACGAGGAAUUCCUCGUAAGCACGAGUCAUCAGCUUGUGCUGAUUACGUCCCUGCCCUUUGUACACACCGCCCGUCGCUACUACCGAUCGUUCCAGUUAAUGAACGCCUUGGAUUGGUCCCGUAAGCGGGGAAACCUGCUCGCGGUUGUGCCGAGAAGAAGUGUAAGUUAUCUGGGAUAGAGGUCGUAAAAGUCGUAACA
rnacentral:rRNA from 1 species